CAGAGGGGCAUGCCUGUUUGAGUAUCAUGAACACCUCAACUCUCACGGUUCGCCGUGAUGAGCUUGGACUUUGGGGGUCUUGCUGGCCUGUGGUCGGCUCCUCUCAAAUGAAUCAGCUUGCCAGUGUUUGGUGGCAUCGCAGGUGUGAUAACUAUCUACGCUUGUGGUUUUCCACCAGGUAACCUUCAGUGAUGGAGGUUCGCUGGGGCUCACAAAUGUCUCUCCUCAGCGAGGACAGCUUCUUGAAUGUUUGAUCUCAAAUCAGGUAGGGCUACCCGCUGAACUUAAGCAUAUCAAUAAGCGGAGG
rnacentral:rRNA from 1 species